UUUUACUCUUGUAAAAUGACUAAAAUCAACCAAAUUCGCCCGAUCCACCUUACCCCCCCUUUCUUCUCAUUUGACAAACCCUAGAUCCUCUCUCAUCCAUCGAUUCCCAUCCCCCAAACAACCACCUGCACAUUCAAGCCUAGAGGACGAGAUUUUUAGCCUUAAGGUCUCCCCCUGACUUCGAUUUCAACAAAGUAGAAGGUGACCCAUGGCGCAUUUACAAGGUACGGUGAGCGUGUGCUGGCACUUGGUGUGAGGCGUACGGAGGCGCACGUGGCGGCACGGAGGGUACGGAGCCAGGCUUCGGGCGCACGGAGGCCGUACAUGGGGGUUUCUGAAACUAUUUUGAUUUUGGGCCACUUGGGCCUUGAAUUUUUGGACUGUAAUUGGACUUUUAUUCUUAGGUUUAUUUAUUCUUUGAUGUGGACCCGGGCAAAUUGGCCUGCUUACAACUCGAAUUUGAGAUUUUAAAUUUUUUAAAAUCUCAAUCUUGUCAUUGAAUAAAGUCUCAUCUUUAAUUUUUUUUA